UCUUUUCCAUGCUUCAGCCAGGGUGACCUUUUAAAUAUACAUGAUCCUGUCGCCUCUAAUUAAACCCUUACAUGAUUUAUGGCUCUGGGUGCACUCUGCUGCCUUCUCUUCCACUGCACUUAGUUCCACACUCCUCAGCACUAUCUGCUCCAGCCACGCCAGCCUGCCUUUGGCUCAUUCAUUCCACGGUCCCUUUGCCCUGAUUCGUCACUCUGCCUUAAACAUUACAUUCUAUAGCGUGCUUCUGCCCAUCUUUCAUAACUAGCCCUGUGGCCCCUUAACUAAUCAACAGGUCCUGCUCUGACCUCUCAUAGCACUAUAGAUCAGUCCUCAGUAACAUUGAUUAUAACCCCAAAUUAUCCAUGUUUGAUCAUUUAGUUAAUCCAGCCCUCCUGGCCGCCAUUGGGAUGUAGGCCUUUUGGAGACCAGGACUACAUCAGAUGCGGCCCAUCCAACAUCCCAACACCAGCGGAGCAUCUCGGGACAUCUCGGCAGUGCUGAGUGGAUGAGUAACAGCUGCUUUUCCUCCCCUCGAGCCUUCUGGUCUACCCGCCAGCGCUAGGCUGUGGCCGAACAGACUACGUGCCUCCCCUGGAGUCCUCACUUCGUCAGUGAGUUCUUGCCGUCCCUGCCCACAGAGUUUAAAAUCACUGCCAGUCGACAAAAGACGCAACCCCUUAGCCUUGGUGUCUUCAUCUAUGGACAGAGCUUCAGAGAAAAGAAAAUGAGAUCGUGCUUGCAAAGUCCCUGAUAUGGAACCAUGUAAGACAUGGUAGGACAUCUGUGCUUUCUCGCGGAGCAGAGCGAUGACAAGAUGUUAAAAGCAAUGGCUGGGAUCAAUCUUCACUCAGAAAGACAAACAGGAUGGACAUUGGAGGAAGGAGAGAACAGGAAGCAGGAUGGAAACCUACCACAGAGAGUCUCUGAAAGACUCUACCCAGCAGUGUGUCAAAGCAGAUGCUGAGACUCAUAGCCAAACUUUGGGCAGAGCGCAGUGAAUCUUAGGAAAGAAGAGGGAGAUAGCAAGACCUGGAGGGGACAGGAGCUCCACAAGGAGAGCAACAGAAUCAAAAUAUCUGGGCACAGGGGUCUUUUCUGAAACUGAUACACCAACCAAAGACCAGUCAUAGAUAUUGCCUAGAACUUCUGCACAGAUGUAGCCCAUGGCAGCUCAGUGUCCAAGUGGGUUCCCUAGUAAGGGGAACAGGGACUGUCUCUGACAUGAACUCAGUUGCUGGCUCUUUGACCAACUUCCCCCUGAGGGAGGAGCAGCCUUGCCAGGCCACAGAGAAGGACAAUGCAGUCAGUCCUGAGACCUGAUAGGCUAGGGUCAGACGGAAAGGGAGGAGGACUUCCCCUAUCAGUGGACUUGGAGAGGGGCAUGGGAGGAGAU